rnacentral:lncRNA from 1 species
UAAAGAAAUAUUAGAAGAAUUACAAAUAUCAUUCAAAUACAUCUCAAUUCAAUCUUAAUUUAAUUCUAGUUAAAAUCCUAUUGAACUUCAUUCAAACUUUAGGCCAAAUCUAAUUGAAUCUUAAAUCCUAAUAAAAUCCUAAAUCCUAAAUCAAAUCCUAAGCAAACCUUAAACUAAAUCCCAAUAAAAUCUUAAACCAAAUCCUAAUCAAAUCCUAAACCAAAUCCUAAACCCUAAAUCAAACCCUAAAUAAAUCCUAAAUCAUAAACCAAAUCCGAACUAAAUCCUAACUAAAUCCUAAAUCCUAAAUCAAAUCUUAAUCAAAUCCUAAAUCCUAAAUCAAACCCUAAUAAAAUCCUAAAUCCUAAACCAAAUCCUAAAUCCUAAAUAAAUCCUAACCAAACUCUAAAC